rnacentral:lncRNA from 1 species
GAUCAUAUUUUGAUCUGUUUGAUUUGUAUGAGAGGUUGCAGUUAUAAGUCCCUGUAAGUUGGCAUCUGUUUUCCUGUGAUCAUAAGUUUGUUUGUUUGUAUGAGAGGUUGCAAUUAUAAGUCCCUGUAAGUUGGCAUUUGCAUUCCUGUGAUCAUAUUGUUGCUUUUGUUCUUGUAUGUGAGGAUCCAUUGUAAGUCCCUGUAUGUGGCAUUGGUAUUCCU